UACGUAGGGGGCAAGCGUUGUCCGGAAUCAUUGGGCGUAAAGCGCGUGUAGGCGGCCCGGUAAGUCCGCUGUGAAAGUCGGGGGCUCAACCCUCGAAAGCCGGUGGAUACUGUCGGGCUAGAGUGCGGAAGAGGCGAGUGGAAUUCCUGGUGUAGCGGUGAAAUGCGCAGAUAUCAGGAGGAACACCGAUUGCGAAGGCAGCUCGCUGGGACGUUACUGACGCUGAGACGCGAAAGCGUGGGGAGCGAACAGG
rnacentral:rRNA from 1 species